rnacentral:rRNA from 1 species
AACGAACGCUGGCGGCAUGCCUAACACAUGCAAGUCGAACGAAGGCUUCGGCCUUAGUGGCGCACGGGUGCGUAACGCGUGGGAAUCUGCCCUUUGGUUCGGAAUAACAGCUGGAAACGGCUGCUAAUACCGGAUGAUGACGAAAGUCCAAAGAUUUAUCGCCAGAGGAUGAGCCCGCGUUGGAUUAGGUGGUUGGUGGGGUAAAGGCAUACCAAGCCGACGAUGCAUAGCUGGUCUGAGAGGAUGAUCAGCCACACUGGGACUGCGACACGGCCCAGACUCCUACGGGAGGCAGCAGUGGGGAAUAUUGGACGAUGGGCGCAAGCCUGAUCCAGCAAUGCCGCGUGAGUGAUGAAGGCCGUAGGGUUGUAAAGCUCUUUUACCCGGGAAGAUAAUGACUGUACCGGGAGAAUAAGCCCCGGCUAACUCCGUG